rnacentral:rRNA from 1 species
GACGAACCGUACGAACGUUAUUCGGAAUCACUGGGCUUAAAGGGUGCGUAGGCUGCGCAGCAAGUUGGGUGUGAAAUCCCUCGGCUUAACCGAGGAACUGCGCCCAAAACUGCUGUGCUCGAGGGAGAUAGAGGUGAGCGGAACUUAGGGUGGAGCGGUGAAAUGCGUUGAUAUCCUAAGGAACACCGGUGGCGAAAGCGGCUCACUGGAUCUCUUCUGGCGCUGAGGCACGAAAGCUAGGGUAGCGAACGGG